rnacentral:rRNA from 1 species
AUUGAACGCUGGCGGCAUGCUUUACACAUGCAAGUCGAACGGUAACAGGCCUUCGGGUGCUGACGAGUGGCGAACGGGUGAGUAAUGCAUCGGAACGUACCCAGAGGUGGGGGAUAACGCAGCGAAAGCUGUGCUAAUACCGCAUGUGAUCUGAGGAUGAAAGCGGGGGACUGAGCAGCAAUGUUUGGCCUCGCGCCUUUGGAGCGGCCGAUGUCGGAUUAGCUAGUUGGUGGGGUAAAGGCCUACCAAGGCGACGAUCCGUAGCUGGUCUGAGAGGACGACCAGCCACACUGGGACUGAGACACGGCCCAGACUCCUACGGGAGGCAGCAGUGGGGAAUUUUGGACAAUGGGCGCAAGCCUGAUCCAGCAAUGCCGCGUGCGGGAAGAAGGCCUUCGGGUUGUAAACCGCUUUUGGCAGGAACGAAACGGUGUCCGCUAAUACCGGGCGCUAAUGACGGUACCUGCAGAAUAAGCACCGGCUAACUACGUG